UUCGAGAGGGGGUCGAACUAAAAGCGAUUAGGCAGUAGAGAAGCUGAAGUUAGUCGGUGGAAGUUAGCGGCAGUGAUCGAGUGUCUUCUAUGCUGGCAAGGCGAGAAGGAACGAAGUACACCAUGUGGGAAUUGGAGGACUUCACCAAAAUUCGCAGGUGGUAUGCGCUGCACCUGCUGCUCUGUGUCACCUUCUUCAUAUCAGGCGUGAUAAUAAAUGCUGUACAGUUCCUGCUCUAUGUGACGCUGAGACCCUUCAACAAACGCCUCUACUGCAGCAUCAACUACUACCUCAUGUACUCCCUCAUGUCCCAAGUUUUGUUCCUUGCCGAGUGGUGGUCUGGCUCUGACCUGAGGGUGUUCACCUCAGAUGAGUCAUACAAGCACUGGGGCAAGGAGCAUGCACUCAUCAUCAUGAACCACACCUUCGAGGUGGACUGGCUCAUGGGCUGGAUUGUGGCUGACCGCAGUCAAACUCUUGGGUCUGCGAAAGUAUUUGUCAAGAAAAUGAUGCAGUAUGUCCCAACCAUAGGGUGGGCCUGGCGAUUCUCUGAUGCAAUAUUUUUGAAUCGCAAGUGGGAAGAAGAUAAAACUGUUAUGGAGACACAGAUCAAAGAAUUCUUUGAUUAUCCAUACCCAGUGUGGAUGCUGUUGUUUGCUGAGGGCACAAGGUUCACACCUGCCAAGCACAAAGCCAGCAUGGAGUUUGCCCGCAAGAGAGGCCUGCCGGAGCUGAAGAGACAUUUAAUUCCUCGCACUCGUGGUUUCAUCCAGUGUGUCCAGUCUCUUAAAGGAAACUUCCCUGUCAUGUAUGACGUCACUGUGGGCUUCAACACCAAGGAGGGUGUGGCACCAACCCUUCAAAACAUGCUGCGUGGAAGGAAGGUCAUGAGUGAAAUAUAUAUACGACGGAUUCCUCUCAGCGAAGUUCCGGAUGAUGAUGAAGGCGCAUCAAAUUACCUGCAUGAUUUGUACAGGCAAAAGGACAAGUUACUGGACAGCUACAUGAGGACAGGAAGCUUCACCCAAGAGAAUGAUCUGCCAAAGUACGACAGCCGUCCCAUGCCAAGGAGACCGUACUCUCUCAUCAACAUGUUGUUAUGGGCGUCCUUUGUGCUCUCCCAGAUCCUCCGCUUUUAUUACAAUCUCGUCGUCAGCGGGUCCCUCUUGUCGCUCUCCUUUGCUGUUGGCAUCGUCAUCUUUGCAUACAUCGGCCUGUACAAGAUGAUAGCACUAACAAAGAUAGAGAAGGGAUCAGGGUACGGGAGCACAGACACCAAGAAAGAAGAGUAGGUGACCUGUGUCUGUGUGAGGGAAACAGUUUCUGUUAAGGUAAGGCAUUUCAUCUCUGAGCCUCUAGGGAUUUUUUCACAUCAUUUUGUAAGCAGCGCUGUUACAAAAGUUGGUACUUGACCGAGUUGAUAGGUUCUGUGAUGUUUAUUUUUGUUUGUUUUUUGCAUUAGAAGUUGAGGAUGUUAUUGUUGACUAUUGACAACAUUUUCAUACCAGUAGAUUCCUCCACAGUCAAGUGCUGCAAUGCUUUUGUAGAUAAAUUGUUUUUUUACUAGUUUAUAUUAGGAAUUGUAUAAUUUAUAUUGUAAUGUUCCAAUUGCUCCUUAAGACCUAGGCUGAACUGAUUGGCAAUGGUCAUUAUUAUAACUAUUUAGUGCAAAGCAGAUGCAUUACAAUAGGCACAUUAUGAAUUUCUGCUGAACUAGCUGAGGUUUGGGUGUAAUGUAUCAUAAUUAUAUAAGUAAGCCAUUAGUUAUGGAAAUACAAGAGGAAACUUGAGUCUAAAAAGUUACGUUUUUAUAAAAAAAAGAUAAAUUGUUUGUAAUUUAUGUGGGAUAUUUUUUUGUUGGUUUGAAAUUGAGGAUGACCAAUAUAUUUAUAUACCAUAUAUGAUUAACUCAGGGGAUCCCAUCUGUUUAAUGGUUCUGUAGAGUGUAUCAUUGGAAGACACUGGUACUACUUGCAUGGUAUUAGUCCCACCCAAAACUAGCAUUUGCUCAUUCAUAGCACUCUGUAGGAACUAUUGCUGCUUCAGCAAUAGACAAAGCAACUUGCACUAAACCUUGUACUCCUCAAGUCAAUAAGUAUCUUAAUUCCCUGAAGAUUAAAAAUGAAGUCACCAAGAUGGGAUAGUGAAAGGUGAAUCAUUUCAAUGUGAGUUAGUUAUCAUAACAUGGCAACUCAACAACUGUAUUUCAGUCUUGUUUAUUUUUUGUUCAUUUUAUUGGUUCAGUCUUGUGAUUGGAACACUAGGUCACUGUUGGCUUGGUGACCACAGCUAUUGUGGUUUUGUGGGAUGGUGUGUGAUGAAUGAAGAUUAUAUUGUACAGUAAACUGGUGGAUUUCUUUCAAUGCAGGCCUUGUAUUGGUUGUUGGAAGUAAGUCAGUAGCAUGUUUUUGUAUUUGAAGUGAUUCAAACAAUAAUUUAUUUCUUGUAGAUAUCUACAUGAUAAUAUUCUCAGAUUAUUAAAUCAUGAGCUGAUUUUGAUUUUUUAAUCUUCAUUUAAUAUUUUAGGUUCAACUUAUGAACUUUCUCUAGUGUUCUUGUGUGAGAUUUAUAUUCUUACAAAAUUAGGAAGGCAUCUUAAGUCAUUUAUGUAUGAUUUUUAGCAUAUGAAUAGUUUGAAUUAGUAUUUUUGCAUUUCCUGAAGUUUUUAUGUAAUAGGGAUGUGCUUGUAUUAGCCAAGACAGCCAGGGGUGCUGAGGCAGCAUCAGGUGAAGGCUUAAAGUGCUGAUUUUACUUAUUCUUGUCAACAUUUGAAUGGCUGCUUCAUUUGUAACAUUGUUGUUUGUUUUUAGCAUUGCGUGAUGAGAUGCUAGACUCGGGUUGCAUUAACUCCCUGACACUGAGGAAAGACUUGCUUAUUGGAGCAUGGAGGACGACAACUUACUGUACUACUGGCCUUGUGCUCGAUGUCUCAUCAACAAAAUGUGGAGUGGAAGGAAUUCCCCAAGAAAAGCUCACAACCACUAUAGUCAGGCUUUGUUAUGAAGGUACAAUCUGAACAAAGAGAAUAGGUUUAGUUGAUAGCCUUAUUAUGACAUGAGGAUAGAUUAAGGACAUUGUAGUCACUGUGUUUAUCUUCUACAAAAGUGUGCCAUCAUUGAGUUGUGCAGGCCGAGCAUGGUUGUGCACUGAUAUCACCCUGUAGCUGUGUAGUAAAUGGAUUCCUUCACUGUGACAAGAAUUACUGAACUAAAAGUUGUGAUGAAAGUUUGUUUCUUAGUACUUAGGAAAUGCUCAAAAAUAAGCCAAUUAGGUAAUCCAUAUAAAAUCUUCCAGCUUUUCCUUAUUGUGAAGUUGUUUGUAGAGGGUAAAGUGAUCAUGAAAACUAGAAAUAAGGGCAGUCACUUGUUUUGUUUGCUGAGCUUGGAAGUCACCUUGAGUCCAGCUUGAGUGUUUUGUCUAUUGGUUGGUAACAACUUAACAAUUGUCUCUUUUUGCCACUGUGUGUGUACAGGAUUAGUGAGGAUUGUCUCUUGAGUGUCAAAAGGUGGCCAUUUACUUGAUUGUUUGCUCUUCGGCAGAAACCAUCGACAGUCAUUUAAUGUGAAAAGGAACUUAUUUACUGUAUAUGUAAAUAUUUUAUACAGAAUAAAGUUUCCACAUUGUUGCCCA
rnacentral:misc_RNA from 1 species